UAAAGGGAGCGUAGGCCGGAUGCUAAGCGUGCCGUGAAAUGCAUGUGCUCAACAUAUGCACUGCGGCGCGAACUGGUGUUCUUGAGUGCGCUGAAAGUGGGCGGAAUUCGUGGUGUAGCGGUGAAAUGCUUAGAUAUCACGAGGAACUCCGAUUGCGAAGGCAGCUCGCUGUAGCGUAACUGACGCUGAUGCUCGAAAGCGCGGGUAUCGAACAGGAUUAGAUACCCUGGUAGUCCGCGCGGUAAACGAUGGAUGCCCGCUGUUUGCCAUUAUGGUAAGCGGCCAAGCGAAAGCGUUAAGCAUCCCACCUGGGGAGUACGCCGGCAACGGUGAAACUCAAAGGAAUUGACGGGGGCCCGCACAAGCGGAGGAACAUGUGGUUUAAUUCGAUGAUACGCGAGGAACCUUACCCGGGCUUGAACUGCAGGAGAACGAUUCAGAGAUGAUGAGGUCCUUCGGGACUCCUGUGGAGGUGCUGCAUGGUUGUCGUCAGCUCGUGCCGUGAGGUGUCGGCUUAAGUGCCAUAACGAGCGCAACCCUUGCGCGUAGUUGCCAUCAGGUUAUGCUGGGCACUCUGCGCGGACUGCCACCGCAAGGUGUGAGGAAGGUGGGGAUGACGUCAAAUCAGCACGGCCCUUACGUCCGGGGCUACACACGUGUUACAAUGGGUGGUACAGAGAGCCGGCCGCAUGCAAAUGCGGUCCAAUCCUUAAAGCCGUCCUCAGUUCGGAUUGGGGUCUGCAACCCGACCCCAUGAAGCUGGAUUCGCUAGUAAUCGC
rnacentral:rRNA from 1 species